rnacentral:rRNA from 1 species
UACGAAGGGGGCUAGCGUUGUUCGGAAUUACUGGGCGUAAAGCGCGCGCAGGCGGUCUUCCAAGUCAGUGGUGAAAGCCCGGAGCUCAACUCCGGAACUGCCAUUGAAACUGUGAGACUGGAGUACGAGAGAGGUGAGUGGAAUUCCCAGUGUAGAGGUGGAAUUCGUAGAUAUUAGGAAGAACACCAGUGGCGAAGGCGGCUCACUGGUCCGGUACUGACGCUGAGGUGCGAAAGCGUGGGGAGCAAACAGG